CACCCCCCCACCCCCUGCUCCCUGGGAGUCUGCGCCGGGACCAGAGCGGUCGGUCAAACCUCCACAGCCACUGUCAGUAUUUCACGUAGAGAUUUAGUUUUGAUGAAGCAGCAGCGUCAUGUUUCACCAGCGUAUCAGACUUUCAGCCGCUGGCCGGGUGCAAACACUUGAUCCUGGCCUUUGAUUGGUUUGUGGUGAUCCUGUCUCUCCCCCGUGUCGGGACGUGAACGCCACUAAGAGCGAGUAUUUCUCCGUGUGUAAUUCUCAGCCUCCAGCUCUAAUGUUUCGGUGCUAAUCAAUUUCUGAAGGCUUUGACUCGUCUGUGGUUUAAUAAUUAACUUUGGUCUUCGUGGUUUUUUUGUUUUUUUUUAUCUCGUGCUGUCGUUUCAUUUGCUGCUUUUUCAGCUCGAACCAGACGAUUGAUAAGACUCCGACUUUAAACUGUAACCUUUAAACUUAAAAUCUCUUGACAAAUAGAAAAUAACAUGAUAAGAAUCUUAAAGACAUUUUGUACAACGUAGAUUUUCCAAAUCAUAAGCGAUGAAUACGUGGAAUCAUUGAUCCUCAUUGAGUAAAAAACUAAAGAAUAACAUAUUCUGUUUUUUACAAGACACUAAUUAUUCAACUGGAAUCAACAAUUAUUUCCUCUUUGUAUUAAAUCAUUUGAAAUCAUCUCCUGAAUCUAAAAAGCUCCGAUGAUGCCUUUAAUUCAUUUUUUUUAAGUUAAAAUCUGGUGGAACAACUUUGAAUGUAGGACGACGCAGUUUACAAUUAGCGUUCAAUUAAGAUUUUCUGUCAGAACACUUUAUACCUGCAGCACCGACGUGUCAUCAUGAACGUUCAUCAUGUGACUCAUCAGCUCAUUGUCCAUCAAACAAUCCAAACUCAUCGAUGUUCAGUGUCGACGAAACGUUUAUGCUAUAAAAAGCCCUUUUCAGCAUUUUAGCUUGAGAACGAUGAAUCGAUUGUUAAAAUAGUUUUAUUUGUUGUUCGAGGCAAAACAUUUUGUCAUAAUCGAACAUUUAAUAUUAUAAACUGUUUGAAUGGCAUCGAGUCAUAUGGACACACAAAGGUUAGCGCUAAAAUAAUAACCACAGCAACAACGAUCAAUGCUAGAAACUCAGCAAUUUAUCCAAAUCGUUAUCUUUCACACAGGACGCCCCCUGCAGGCCCGUCUGUUUUUAACACUCCUCGGAUUUAAACACUAUUAAAUAUAAACCUCAGCGCCAGUUCAUCUCUAACUCCACACACACACACACACACACACACACACACACACACACACACACCUACCUCUGUAAAUGUCACCUAACAGCAGAGGAUGAAGGAAGAUGAGCUUCGUUCUUAAUAACAACAUUUUCAUCCUUUUCUUUUUCUGACUUGCUUAUGAUCAUAACGACCAGAUUCUUCCUAAAUUUUUAAAACGUCAAACCAGAAGGAAGAACAGAAACACACACUGACGUCGUAAAGAUUAAAACAUGUGUCACUGCUGUCAAGUAAAUUCAUCUUUUCAUAUUUCAGCAACAAAAUCUUUUUCCCUCCGACCUCUCCCUCGCCUUGUUUUCUGCUCUUACACCAAAUCACUCCACCAAUAAGACUCCGCUGUUGUUGUUGUUCAUCAGCCAAUCAGGAGCCAGGGCUUGACACUGAAACCAUGACAGCGUGGUUCAUGAACGUCACAUGAUCUCUGACAUCACACUAACUCUCAGCAGCGCACGCUUGUUUUUUCAAAAGUUGUAAAAAAAGCACUUUACAAUAAAAAGACUGGAGAUGAAGUUUGAAUAUGAAUCAAAAGUAAUAGUUUCCACUACGAGUCCGUGACAGAUCGUCGGAUAAAGAUAGAAAAACGUUUUCAGAUUCUCUUCAUCGAAACGAUGGUCGUGAUGUUUCAGGUGCAACGUUCCUCUGCUCACCAACACUCCUCCGUCAACACUCAGACUGACGCCUGAUGUUUUACAGCUCAGAUACUUCUUCUGUUUGAGAAAUCAUUCCUCCUUCAUUCAUGUCCAAGUCAUUUAGCAGCAUUUCAAAACUAAACCGGUUUGUCUGGAUGUUUGUCGUGAUCCUCGCUCAUUCUCACAUGACGGGGAAUCAUCCGCUGUCGUCGUUGAGGUUUAAAACAACGUGAAUCUCAAAACCCGGACGUGUUGAAGGUAAAAGACGCUGAUUAUUCUUUUGUGAUUGUGCUCAAACUCAUUUGGAAAAUAUAAUAUGUGCAAUAUGGUUUAGAUAGAGAUGAAUAAUCCAAAAACCUGAGCAGCGUUCGCUUCACUCCAGAUUAUCGAUGAAACACUCAAAGAGCCUCAGAGCGAAGACGCCUUUAAUAAUGUGAGAUUAUUUUUUUCCUCCCACAUGUUCCAAACAUUCAUUUUAUUUAAGUUUUAUCAUUUGUGUUUUAUACUUCCAUGUAAAUUCAUUUAGCUUUGUUCCGUUUAAGUGUGCUAUUGUUUUUCUGUUUUUUUCAAUGUAGAUUUUUAUUCGCAAUGCCUUACAGGUGAUGUAAAUAAACUGUAAAAAUUGUCUUUCUUUUCAUAUAAUGGCCACUAGUUAAAUGUGUAAAUAAAUAUCUUAGCAAACGGAA